rnacentral:misc_RNA from 1 species
CCAGAACAAAGCAAAAGAAAACCAGAAAAUGUUCCCAAACUUCCAUUACCAUUUCAUAUAUGCAUUGCUCGUCAUUCUUGUGACACUCAGUACAUGAUCUUAACUACAUCAAAAGUGAUUAGAUCAUAUUAAAAAUUACUGAUGCAGUCAACUCUAUCCAAUCUCUUCUCCCCCAAACCAUAUUAAGGAGAUAUAAAUUAAGAAAAGUGAAAAUCCGCACCUGUGAAGAAAUUCAUGUAACGGAAGUAUAAAAUGUCUCUCUACAUGUCCUACCAUAUAACCAAUAAGAAAGAAAAUAUUAAAAAAUACCCAUAAAUAAAGGAAAUGAAAGAAAAAUUGGAAAUUGAUAUCUAACACAUUCCUGUACGUAGGGACUAAGAUUGAAGGCAGAAUAUAUUUAAUUCUUCACGGAAUGAAUGAAUGAAUCUGAAUGCUCAUAGGUUAUCUGGCAACUGAAAGCUCUGUGAACCAAAAAUUUGAUGGGAAUUGUCUUGAACAAAAACAGUAAUACCACAUUUGCUGCUAUUGAAGCCUUCCCAAAGGGAAAAAUUAACAGUUCCUGAAACUGUCUUCUUGGCAGAGAUGUCCUUGACAGUGCAGAGCUUUUCAAGCCUUCGAACCACAUAGUCAUUAGACAAGACACGCCCUUUGUUCUCCCCAUGAGGGCAAUUGGUCACCAAUCCACUCUCAUAGAGAGCCACCAUUAUAUUGGCACCUUUGCUGUCAACUUUAGUCCUUAAAGCUCCUGAUAAACUGACUUGCAAGGAUUCUGACGUUGGCCUCUGGAAGGUUGCCUGAAAGGUGGGUGAAGGAAAUUUGGGUGCACUCAUGAUGGAAGAUAAAAGAGCCUCCUCUUCAUUGGCCACACACUGAGUCGUACCCUGGAUAACAACCUGAGGUGUAAACAUAGUGUCAA